UACGUAGGGGGCGCGCGUUGUCCGGAUUUAUUGGGCGUAAAGAGCUCGUAGGCGGCUUGGCAAGUCGGGUGUGAAACCUCCAGGCUCAACCUGGAGACGCCACUCGAUACUGCUAUGGCUAGAGUCCGGUAGGGGACCACGGAAUUCCUGGUGUAGCGGUGAAAUGCGCAGAUAUCAGGAGGAACACCGGUGGUGAAGGCGGUGGUCUGGGCCGGCACUGACGCUGAGGAGCGAAAGCGUGGGUAGCAAACAGG
rnacentral:rRNA from 1 species